AAACCAACAGGGAUUACCUCAGUAACGGCGAGUGAAGCGGUAACAGCUCAAAUUUGAAAUCUGGCUCUUUCAGGGUCCGAGUUGUAAUUUGUAGAAGAUGCUUUGGGUGUGGCCCUGGUCUAAGUUCCUUGGAACAGGAUGUCAUAGAGGGUGAGAAUCCCGUAUGUGACUAGGUGCCUUCGCCCGUGUAAAGCUCUUUCGACGAGUCGAGUUGUUUGGGAAUGCAGCUCAAAAUGGGUGGUAAAUUUCAUCUAAAGCUAAAUAUUGGCCAGAGACCGAUAGCGCACAAGUAGAGUGAUCGAAAGAUGAAAAGCACUUUGGAAAGAGAGUUAAACAGUACGUGAAAUUGUUGAAAGGGAAGCGCUUGCAACCAGACUUAGUUGCGGCCGAUCAUCUAGGGUUCUCCCUGGUGCACUCGGUCGUAUCUAGGCCAGCAUCGGUUUGGGUGGUGGGAUAAAGGCCUUGGGAAUGUAGCUUCUUUCGGGGAGUGUUAUAGCCCUCGGUGCAAUGCCGCCUACCUGGACCGAGACCGCGCUUCGCUAGGAUGCUGGCGUAAUGGUUGUAAGCGAC
rnacentral:rRNA from 1 species